rnacentral:snRNA from 1 species
UUGCUUCUGCAAAAAAUAUACUAAAAUUGGAAUGAUACAGGGAAGGCCUGGGGCAUGGCCCCUGCCCAAGGAUGACAUGCAGAUUUGUGAAGGGUUCCAUAUAUAU